CCAUGGUGCAAAGGCAUAGAUGGCAUCGGUGAAACUGUGUUAGGUGCCAUGCCAUGGUUCAGAGGCAUAUGAGGCAUUGGUGGAACUGUGUUAGGUGCCAUGCCAUGGUGCAAAGGCAUAGGAGGCCUUGGUGGAACUGUGUUAGGUGCCAUGCCAUGCAAAGGCAUAGGAGGCCUUGGUGGAACUGUGUUAGGUGCCAUGCCAUGGUGCAAAGGCAUAGGAGGCCUUGGUGGAACUGUGUUAGGUGCCAUGCCAUGGUGCAAAGGCAUAGGAAGCAUUGAUGGAACUGCGCUCGGUAAAAUUCCAUGGCUCAAAUUUGGAGGAAUGAUGGGGUUUUGCA
rnacentral:lncRNA from 1 species